rnacentral:ncRNA from 2 species
CGAUGAGGUAGAGGUCGCAACUAUAAUGAGUCUAUUUGGAGAAAGCGUUAGAGCCGCUGUUGAUCCCAAAUAAAAAGGUAUCGUUGCCGAAGUAUACGUAACGCUCUUCUGUUACUUAUGCUGGGACUGUGUCCGAAAGGAACAGGACUGUCACAGUGAACCAUCUUCGGAUGUGUCCUGUGUUGAGCUAUCUUUACA